rnacentral:lncRNA from 1 species
UAGAAAGAGAUAUUAAUGCUCUUAAUUUAACUACAGAUAUUUUCUUAUACAGAGUUCAAUGAUGCAAAAGAUCCAUAUGGAUGAUCAUGAAUUGUUUGAACAUCAUGGCUUCUGUUAUUAUUUUGGUCGUUUGCACAUGCUGGUUUUAUUGUCAAAUUCUCACUGAUAUAGGCUUUUUUUUUCUUCAUUAAUGAUAUGUAGCUGACGCAACAUAUAAUUUUUUUAACUGUAGUUGAAGUUAUUUACAUGAGCAGUCUUUCUCAUAAAUUAAUUUCCUUUAUCAGCAAAGAACCAAAUAAACUAGUAGCAUUUCUUGAUUGAGGCAGUUUUCUUAUCUCUUUAUUCAUUUUUCAGAAUAUUUAUUGCCUUUCUCUGGUCUUCCAGCUAUGUUGUAUUUUUUUGUCAAGUUGCUCAUCAUCAUCAACAAUGCCUUUUUUAGCAUGUUGAACCUCACAAAUUACUGUUGUUAAUUAAUUCAACAGUAUCUUUUCUACUUACCAGUCUUGCAAGACUUAUAACUAGAUCAUCUCUCUACAUUCUUGAUGAAAUGGAUCAAUUAUUCUGGAAGUGCUCAUUUGAAAUGUUCCAGGUUUUAGUUAUAGGACAUUGCUGAAACUGAUGUUAGAGAAAACAUUAUGCAUCUUCCUGUUAUUCUGAAUUCUUUAGUACCAUUUGCAAGUUGUUGAUGUUCAACCUACAAGUAUAAACAUGAGUAUCGUCUGUAUACGAUCAACAUGGUAAAUGCCUUUGCCACUCUUAUGCAGCAUAUUUGAUGAAGAUACAUUUGAUAUGGUUUUUAAAUUGCUACAGGGAUAUAGGAUGAUUGGUAGUGUAUGAAUGCACCAACUACAAUCGAAAAAUAAGUGGAAGAUUGUGUUUGUGUGCUGUUGUUAUAUGAUGCCAUUAUUUCAGUGGUGGAGAAUUGCUUGGAUGUGAGCAUGAUAAUAAGUAACUAAUCAUAGGUACUCUUUAUCAACUCUCAAACACCAUUUAGAGACUUAUCUCUGAAAGAAAUGGCUGAUUGGAACUGAAUGCAUGUGGAUUAACAUGAGUGGUAAAGGAAUGUUGUCGAAAGUUUUCAACAUCCUUGAUUUGAGGUAGAAGAGGAAUUUGGACUUGGAGAGGGCAGAAAUAAGAUUACUUUUCUGUAUUUUUCUGCAAACGGUACAGGAUACUGCCUCAAAAGACUAAUGUUUUCGGUGCAGAAGAGGCUCGUGUGCCUUCUCUCUUGUAACAAGUCCAACAUCCAUCUUUCCUCCUAUCAACUCUGCAGUCUGUUUAGCUUUGCCACUGCCGAAGAGCACAGUUUAAAUCAUAGAUCCAACUUUACGUUGGUCGACCCCCUUGAGUCAUGUGAACUUUCCUCAAAAGAGGCUGCAAAAAGGGCCAAGGAUGGCAUCUGUGAAAAAGAACUUUCAAGUUCAAGUCUUUCCAUUGAGUUCUUCAAGCAGAGCGGUUGGACUGAUGCACAAGUCGUGAAGCUUAUGCAGAAGCAUACCAGGUUUCUACGUGCUAACUUAGAGACUGUCCUGAAGCCGAAGAUAAGAUCUUUGCAGGACAUGGGAUUUUCUGACACUGAAAUAGUUCAGCUGGUUUCAUCAUGUCCGGGUCUGCUCCAUUUUCGUGAUAUCCAACCAAGGAUCAACUUCUGGAGGUCACUUCUUGGUUCUAAUGAGAGGUUAAUUAAGGCCUGCAGGAGGAACAUGUUUCUCCUUACUUCUAGCUUGGCUCAAAAGAUUGAGCCCAAUAUAUCUCUCUUGAGGGAAUGUGGCAUCAGUGAGCAAAACAUCGCGCAGAUGGUAGUGAGACUACCAAGUUUUUUAUGUCAUACAGAAAAAUGUAUCAAGGAAGCGAUCAAACAUGUUGAGGAGUUGGGUGUGUCACGUGACUGUAAAACGUUCCCUCGUGCACUCUUAACAGUCGUGACCCUGAGCAGGUCCAGGCUUGAUGCUACCUUUGCAACCCUGAUCAGCUAUGGGUGGUCCCAACCAGAUUGCGUUGCUGCAUUCAGGAAGCAUCCAUCCAUUUGGUCUUUGUCAAAGAAGACCUUAUGUGACAAGAUGACAUUCCUGAUGAAGGAAGCUGGUUGUGAGAUGACAUAUAUCAUUUGCCGUCCGGUGCUUCUUACAUAUAGCUUGGAGAAGAGGUUGAGACCUCGAUAUGAAGUUCUGAAUUUUCUUGAUCAGAAUAAAUUGCUGGAUAAAGGACAUGACCUGCUAUCUGUCAUCCUGCUAUCUGAAGAGAAGUUCAGAAACAAAUUCCUUUUCGUGCUAUGCAAGGAGAAAUUUAUUGCUCAAUAUGAUUCCUAUGUUGCUGCUGUGCGUGGAAAGCACCACGUUGUUGUGGAAAACUAGGAUUGCAAGUGCUUCCUCGAGACAAAAGUGUAAACCUAAUGCAUGCUGACCGAAACUUAAUCAUUUUACAUUUGUGACAAUUUAAAUUCUCCAAGAGUUUAUUAGAGUAGAACUUCCAUGUUGAUUUUUGGGAUUUUUCCUCUAUUUAUCUUUUUCUACAACCAAAGAAUGCUGAUUCAUAUAUGCUGAUGUCCCAGAAAGUGGAGUUUGGGGGAAGUCAAUUACUUAGGAAAGGUAACAAAAAUAUCAAGCUUUUGUGUUAUGUUUUUACCGUAUCUAGCCAAUUCACAUACUUAUUAUUGAAUUUGAGUUAUGUUGUUGGUUGCAUGGUAUGUAAUUUCAAAUGAUAUUGUUUGUAUCGAGCGGUACCUAUCGGUCUGACAAUAUAUCGAUAUGUGGACCGUUUGCUAUCGAACGAAUCAUGCUUCAGUGCUACAGUAAUAUACUUUAGUAGUUCUAUAGUAAGAGGAAAUCGUGCAGUAAACCUUGGUGUACCAUACGAUACAUGAUACGUCUGUGUUGUAUUGUACCGAGCAAACCUUGAAACAUUGAUAUAUGAUAUGAUAUUGCAUAUCUUGGUUGAUUGUAUCUAAUUUUUUAUAGUAACAUUUUAAUUGUAUUAAGAGAUCAAUUAGAUCACAUAUAUAUCUCCUAUUAAGUAAGCUAUUUUAUUCUUGUGAAAUUAACGAAAAAAUAAGACAGAUUUUAUAAUUUAAAUGAUAAAAAGAUCAGAAGAUUUUCUAGAGAUGUUUCUAUCUAUAGAAUUCAAUGUAUAAACUAUUUAAAAAAUAUUUUGAAUAUAAAUAGUUAUUAUAUAUUUUUAUUACAAAUAAUAUUGUGAAAGAUUGCUUAUAUUUGCAACAUUGGAAUGUGUGUGAUAAUAUCAUUUUCAAUGUUGAUGAUGAAUAGUAGCAACCUUUGUAUGGAUGAUAGUUAUGGAUCAAGAUUUGAACAUAAGAGAAUAGAUCCUAGAUGAAAGUAGAUUAACCAUGCCCAUUUAAUUAGUUAAAUCUAUUGAUGAUUAGAUAAAGCCGAUGAAAUAGAAGGAUAAAAAUUUUAUUUAUAAAUAAGGAUUAAAUAUUUAUAAAUUUAACAUAAUUUUACAUCAAAUAUUUUAUUAUAUCAUUAUAUAUUUGUACUUUUUAUAGUUAUACAUCCAUGGUCUUCAAAAUUUUAAAAAAAUUAUAAAAAAUUUUAUAUUAUAAAUUUUUUUUAAAUGAAAUAAUAAAAAAUUAUGAUUUUUAUUCAAAAUUUUGAAUUGACAAUUUUUGAAAUGGAUGAUUCUGAAAUGGUGAAUAAGUCUUAAAUAUAACUUAUAUUUAAAUCAUCAAAUCUUAUAUUUGCUGGUUUAGUUUGUGAAUUGAAGGACAAUUUACUUGUAACAGUAGAAAGAGGUUUGAAUGCUUUAAGUUUGACAACAUAUGUUUUUUACAUAGAGCAUAAAUAGUUCGGAUAUUACGGCUUUUUGUUAUUAGUGUGAUUGUUAGCACUUGUUGGCUUUAUUGGCAAAUUCUCACUGAUUUAGAUUAUGGCUUUAUUGAGAAAGUUCUUUACUACAGCUGAAGCUAUUGAUGUCACCGGCCGCCCGAUAAGUGGGCCGGGGAUGCGAGUUCAACCCGGUGCGGCCCGCCUGAUUCGGGUUGUGUCGAGCCCGAGUCAAGUCAAUUUGGAUCUCUGGUUCGAUUGAACCAGAUGAGAACGGCAUUCUCAAAAUUCCCACCCGUGCCCUAACUGCAGCGGUGAAAGUGUCUCCUCCUAUAUAGCGACCGCGAAUGCGGCGUUUUACUUGGCGAAAGGCGGCUGAAGCGGCGGCAUCUUCCUCCGUCGGGCUUUUAUCGCUGCGGCGUUUUCCUCGGCGAACGGUGGAUGCUGCGGCUUCCUCUCCGUCAGCGAACGGUACAACGCCCGGUAUCUCUCUCUUACUCCUCCUCCUCCUCCUUCGCCGUCACACAAUCCCUUCUCCUCCCUCUUCCCCCUUUCGUCGCAGCUCUCCCGAUUCCCCGACACCAUCCUCCUCCUCCCUCUUUCACCCGUUCAUCGCAGCCCCCCGCCCCUCUUCCCCGAUCCAUCCCCCUCCUCCACUUCAUCACAGUCCCCGCCCCCCGUUUUCCUACUCCGAUCCCAACGGUCCCCUCUCAGUUUUCCUACUCCGGACCCGACAGCUCCCUCUCCAUUAUCUUGCUCCGGACCCGACAGCCCCCGUCUCCCUCCUCUACACCCCUCUUCGCCCUCUCUAUACAUCUUCCCGUCCCCUUUCCUUCUCCCUGAUAGUUACCCGCUACCCUCCCAACAAGUAGUCAGCAGCAUGUUUUGAGCAUUUACUUUAAAGAAAUAGCAAGUCACAGUAUGCAAGUUAAAUACUGUUGUUAAGAUAGAAAGCAGGAGAAGUGCUGCUUUUAUAAAGAGCAAAGAGAAUUGGGGAGUCUUAGAGAAAAAUAAAAAAACACGGAAAAGAUAGAACAAGAGAUAGCAGAGACAAUAAUUGGGUCACUGUCCAAAGAAAAUCAUAAUUAUUUGUCAAUAGAAUCAUGCACAAGUCGGACUAUUCCUCAUGUGAAGCAUUUUAAUUAAAAAUAUACCUAAGAUAAUACUAAUUUGACUAGGUUUCGCGAAAGAAGCUCCCUCAACAGCAACUGCUUAUUUUGAUGAAGUGUUUGGUUCAUCAAACCUCUUAGUUUUCUUAUUAUGUAUACUGCAUUGCAGUUUCCUUUUCAAGCACAUCAGAAAAUUUCAACACAAAACCCCAAAUGUUACAAAGGACUCGAUCAAUCUAAACUACAAGUUGAGUAAACAAAUAGAAUUUGACUUGAUUUCCAAACCCGAAAAUAGACCCAAAAUCUCAAAUGUAUUUGGUUAGGUAUAACCUUACACCUUUAUGUCAGCAUAGUGUGUUCUCUGCUGUAGUGCUGAAAGCAACUAUCUCAGCUACUUGAGGCUUGUUCGUACCUCAAAACACACAGGCCUGCUUAUAUUUGAAUUGUCAAAUCUUGUAUUUGCUGGUUUAGUUGGUGAUUUGAAGGGGCCUUUUCCAGUAACAACAGAAAGAGAUUUGAAUGCUCUUACUUUAACUACAGAUAUUUUCUUAUACAUAGUUCGAUGAUGCAGAAGAUCCAUAUGGCUGAUCAUGAAUAGUUUGGACAUCAUGGCUUUUGUUAUUAUUGUGGUUGUUUGCACUUGCUGGUUUUAUUGGCAAAUUCUCACUGAUCUAGGCUUUUUUUUUCUUCAUUAAUGAUAUUUAGCUGACGCCACAUAUAAUUUUUUUAACUGUAGUUGAAGUUAUUUACAUGACCAAUCUUUCUCAUAAAUUAAGUUCCUUUAUCAGCAUAGAACCAAAUAAACUAGUAGCAUUUCUUGAUUGAGGCAGUUUUCUUAUCUCUUUAUUCAUUUUUCAGAAAAUUUAUUGCCUUUCUCUGGUCUUCCAGCUAUGUUUUUUUUUUUUUUUUGUCAAGUUGCUCAUCAUCAUCAACAAUGCCCUUUUUAGCAUGUUGAACCUUACAAAUUACCCUUGUUAAAUAAUUAAACAGUGUCUUUUCUGCUUACCAGUCUUGCUAGACUUUUAACUAGAUCAUCUCUUUACAUUCUUGAUGAAAUGGAUCAAUUACUCUGGUAGUUCUCAUUUGAAAUGUUUCAGGUUUUAGUUGUAGGACAUUAGUGAAUCUGAUGUUAGAGAAAACAUUAUGCAUCUUCCACUUAUUCUGAAUUCUGUAGUACCAUUAGCAAGUCAUUGAUGUUCAACCUAUAAGUAUAAACUUGAGUAUCGUCUGUAUACGAUCGACAAUGUAAAUGCCUAUGCCACUCUUAUGCAGCAUAUUUGAUGAAGAUACAUUUGAUAUGGUUUUUAAAUUGCUACAGGAAUAUAGGAUGCUUGGUAGUGUCUAAACCCACCAACUACAAUAUAAAAAUAAGUGGAAGAUAGUGUCUGUGCUCUGGUGUUAUAUGAUGCCAGUAUUUUAGUGGUGGAGAAUUGCUCUGAUGUGAGCAUUUGAAUGAGUAACGAAUUAUAGGUACUCGUUAUCAACUCUCAAACACCAUUUAGAGACUUAUCUCUGGAAGAAUUGGCUGAUUGGAAUUGAAUGCAUGUGGAUUAACACAAGUGGUAUAGGAAUGCUGUCUGAGACAAAUGAUUAGUUGAAAGUUUUCAAUAUCCUUGAUUGGAGGCAGAAGUUGAAUUUGGACUUGGAGAGGGCAGAAAUAAGACUACUUUUCUUGUAUUUUUCUGCAAACAGUAGGUGAUACUGCCUCAAAAGACAAUGUUUUUCGUGCACAAGAGGCUCUUUUGCCUUCUCUCAUGUAACAAGUCCACCGUCCAUGUUUCUUCCUAUCAACUCUGCAGUCUGUUUAGCUUUUCCACUGCCGAAGAGCACAGUUCAAAUCAUGGAUCCAACUUUACGUUGGUCGACCCCCUUGAGUCAUGUGAACUUUCCUCAAAAGAGGCUGCAAAAAGGGCCAAGGAUCGCAUCUGUGAAAAAGAACUUUCAAGUUCAAGUCCUUCCAUUGAGUUCUUCAAGCAGAGCGGUUGGAGUGAUCCACUAGUCAUGAAGCUUUUGCAGAGGGAACCCAGGCUUCUACGUGCUAACGUAGAGACUAUCCUGAAGCCCAGGAUGAGAUCUUUGCAGGACAUGGGAUUUUCUGACACUGAAAUAGUUCAGCUGGUUUCAUCAUGUCCGUGUCUGCUCUAUUUACGUGAUAUCCAACCGAGGAUCGACUUCUGGAGGUCACUACUUGGUUCUAAUGAGAGAUUAAUUAAAGCCAGCAGGGGGAACAUGUUUCUCCUUACUUCUAGCGUGGCUCGAAAGGUUGAGCCCAAUAUAUCUCUCUUGAGGGAAUGUGGCAUCAGUGAGCAAUGCAUCACGCAGAUGGUGGUGGCAGUACCGAGUUUUUUUUGUCGAACGAACAAAUGUAUCGACGAAUCUAUCAAACAUGUUGAGGAGUUGGGUGUGUCACGUGACUGUAAAAUGUUCCCUGAUGCACUUUUAAAUGUCAUGACCCUGAGCUGGUCUAGGUUUCAUGCUACUUUUGCUACCCUGAUGAGCUUUGGGUGGUCCCAACCAGACAGUCUUGCUGCAUUCAGGAGGUAUCCAGUCAUUUGGAAUUACUCAAAGAAGAACUUAUGUGACAAGAUGACAUUCCUGAUGAAGGAAGCUGGUUGUGAGCUGACAUAUAUCGUUGGUCAUCCCGUGCUUCUUACAUAUAGCUUGGAGAAGAGGUUGAGACCUCGAUAUGAAGUUAUGAAUUUUCUUUAUCAGAAUAAAUUGCUGGAUAAAGGACAUGACCUGCUAUCUGUCAUCCUGCUCUCUGAAGAGAAGUUCAGAAACAAAUUCCUUUUCCUGCUACGCAACGAGAAAUUUAUUGCUCAAUAUGAUUCCUAUGUUGUUGCUGUGCAGGGAAAGCAUGACGUUAUUGCGGAAAACUAGGAUUGCAAGUGCUUCCUUAAGACAAAGUAUAACCUAUUGCAUGCUGACUGCAAAUUAAACACUUUAUAUUUGUGACAAUUUAAAUUCUGCAAGAGUUUCUUGGAGUAUUAACUUCCAUGUUGAUUUGGUGAUUGUUCUAUUUAUGUUUUCUACAACAAAAGGUACUCGUUCUUUUAUGCUGAUGUCUCAGAAAUUGGUGUGGGGGAAAGUCAAUUACUUAAGAAAGGUAACCAAAAUAUCAAGCUUCUGUGUUCUGUUUCUAUCAUAUUUACCUGAUUCUGGCAGCCAUAUUGAUUACCGUGCUGUCAUUUAGAUGAUUGUGAUCUAAUUUAAUAAAGAUACCUUCCUUUUGAAUGGGGACAUCUCAAAGAAUUAUGUAAGAGCCGCUUGGACGGAAAAUACUUUAAAGGCAACCGCAGAUGUGGAAAUGACUAUAACAUUUUUGUUGUAGUCAUCCACAGUCGCUCAUUAAAUAAUUAAGUCCAGUUUAACUGUUUAAUCGAACGCAUUAAACAGCCGAUCUAUAUUAAGUUUGAUACACAUCUGUAUUGUUAUAUAAUUAGAUUGUGUGUUUUACUUUGCUUGUGCGAUCUAAUAGACCCAACGUGGCUCCCGUGUUUUGUUUUAUUUAACUAUUAACGCCCAUGCAUUUUGGAUCAUUUAUGUUUAUGUUUGAAUUCAUACCCAGAAUGAUUAUUGAAUUUGAGCUUCAUUGGGUGCAUAUCUAUUUUUUUGAUAAUAAUAGUUGAAUUAUAUUAAGAGAACAAUUACGAGGUAGUUAAUAAAAUGAACACAUCUAUGGCAUAUAUCUACAGUAAGUUAUGAAGCUUCUUUUUUUUUUAUUGUAAUGUUGUAUUAUCAUUUUAGUGUCUGAAAUAUAAGAAACAGUAUUAUUAUUUUUUAUAAUAUGUUUAGUUGACAAAAUUUUAAUUUAACUAAAGAUUCUAAGAGGAAAGAUUCAAAAGAUUGGAUAGAGAAGAUUAUUGGAUGGUUGUUGAGCGACUACGGAUUAUAAGCUGAAAAGUUAAGAUUAUUUUCAGAAGUUCCGAAAGAAUUUAAAAGAUAUCUGUUGCUAUUCUUUAUAAGAAUAUAUAAACAUCGACUACUAAGAAUUCAAGAUAAUAGUAUAUGUAAUUUUUGCUUCGAUUAUGUUAUGAAACUUCAUUUUUUUCUUAUAAUGUUGUUUUAUCAUUUUGGUGUCUUCAACAUAAGCAAUAGUAUCAUUAUUUUUUUAGUGAUAUGUUUAGUUACUAAAAUUUUAACUUUAUAAAAAAUUCUAAGAGGAAAGACUCAAAAAAGUGAACAAAAUAUAUUGUUGGAUGGUUGUGGGGGAACUAUUGAUUAUAAAUCAGUAAUGAUGUUAUGAUGUUGAAGAGUGUAAACUUCUUUUUAAAAAUUCUGAAAAGACAUAAAAGAUAUGUAUUUGUAAGAUUUUGGAUUAUAAAAAAAUACAAAUGGAAUUUAUAUUUUUCAGCAAUAGUUUUUGAACCAAACAACUUUGAAUAAUUAUCUUAUUGAAUUGUUUCUCAGCACUUACGUAUUUUUUAUCAUGGGAAGGAUCUAUUAAGUUGCAGCAUCAUCAGGCCUCAACAAAAAUCAUCUAUAUUUCUGUAAGGUCGAUAAAGUCAUCAUAUAAGUAAGAUACUUGAAACUGAUUAUGACAGACUACUUCUAUUGGGAUGCAUAUGUAAAUUAUGACAGACUACUCCAAAAUAGACCCAAAAUCUCAAUGUAUUUAGUUAAGUAUAACUAGUCCUAACUAAAUCACAACUGAUUUAUUGUGACGGGUUUGAAUCACAACUGAAUCAAUGCAUUUAGUUAGGUAUAAAUAUGACCGGUUUGAAUUGAAUCAAACAGGUUCGUUGAUUGCAAAUCAAAUCGUAAUCUACCAGGGGUAAUUUAAUUGAGGUUUCUAGGUUUGAAAAAUUAGAAUCAAUGAUCCCAUAAUUGAUUAUUCCGCUUCCUAUUUAAACCAUCUAUUUGAUGGUGUUCUAUAUAGAUAAAAACCUCGAUCAGAUAGGUUCUCGAUGGAUAAUUGGGCUUAAACAAUUGGGCCCAAUAGUUGGACCAACAAUCGAAUGAAUGUCAAAUUGGUUAUAUUUAGGGAUACUUUAGUUAUUUUAUAAUUAAAAAUAUUAAAAAUUAGAAAAUAAAUUAGUCCUUCCAAUAAGCAAAUAAUAGCUAGUUAUGAAGAUAUUUUAGGAAAAAAAAUUUAAAAAUCCUAUAGAUACCCCAAAAAUCUUUUAUUUUUUUCCAGAUUACUUGUUGAAGGUUGAACGGUUUGAUGCUCUUUUCUUAAUCCGAUGGCAAGUGGAAGCUAUCACUUUACCACCUAAGAGGCUUUUGGAAAUUUGAUAUUGGUAAUUCAAGAAAACCAACGUAUCAAUGUUGAUGUUAAGAUGUUGAUAUGAUGGCUUUUAAAAAUAUAAGAAGAUAUGAUGACCAAACUCAAGUUAGACAUCUUCUAAGUUAUACUUUAAAAAUGUCUGAAACACUGAUGGCUCCUUCCAUAUCAUAUGUAAUUAUUGAGAUCAAAUUUUUAAAUAUAAAGAAGGAAGAGGAUAUAGAAUAUUUUGAAAGAAUAUUACGAAGAAACAUCCAUCACAAGUUAGUACGGUGAAAGUCAAAAGUAAAUUUUCAGAUACCCUACUAAUCUCACUUUUUGUUAUUCUAUUAAAAAAAUUAUGAAACAUUAGCUAUAUUUAUUUUUGUUAAAUAUUUAUUUUUUUAGUUUUGGUGAACAAGUUGGAUUUAUUGAUUAUUAUCAAUAGGCUUUAAAUCAUAUCACAUAAUGAAUUUUCAUAUCACUCUUGCUCGCACUUUAUAUAAUCUUUAUAAAAAUAAUUAUCAUGUUUUUAUUUAUAUUGAUAUUUGGAGUUCAAAUGUACUCAUAAUAUUGUUAUUGGAUUGAUAGUGAUUGGACCAUGCAAAAUAAAUUAUUGCUUUUAGAGAAGUUCAGAAAGAAAUUUCUUUUCCUGCUAGGCGAGGAGAAAUUUAUUCCUCUAUAUGAUUCCUAUGUUGCAGCUAAUUCAGAGACUUAAAUUUGAGCUACGUUGUUGGUUGUAUCUCUAAUUUUUUUUAUAGUAACAGUUUAAUUGGUUGUAUCUCUAUUUUUUUUAUAUAGUAACAGUUUAUUUGUAUUAAGAGAACAAUUAAUAAUAUGCACACAUCUAUAUCUCCUAUUAAGCAAGCUAUUUUAUUCUUGUGAAGUUAAUGAAAAAAAUAAGGCAGAUUUUAUAAUUUAAAUGAUAAAAAGAUUAGAAGAUUUUCUAGCGAUGUUUUUACCUGAUGGAAUUCAAUAUAUAAACUCUUUAAAAAAUAUUUCGAAUAUAAAUAGUUAUUAUAUAUUUUUAUUACAAAUAAUAUUAUGAAAGUUCGCUUAUAUUUGCAACAUUGGAAUGUGUGGGAUAAAAUUUUAAAGAUUUUAAAACUGUUUAAUAAUGUAAUAUAUACUUUUACUGGUGUUUAUUAUCUUACUAUGCAUAUUUUUUUGGUUGUUUGCAUUAAUAUGCUUGGUGAAUUAUAAGAACAUCAAUAUGAUAAUAAUUUAAAUAUGACAAUAGUGAUUAUAAAAUUAAAAAGGAUAAAUUAUUUUUUAAUUCUAUCGAUUUAUUUAAUUACAUAUUUAAUUACAUUUGACUUUAGUAAUUAUUCAAUUAUUUAACCAUUUAUUAUGAAAUUUAGCGGUAAAUGAUAUUGGUCAUAAAAUAAGAGAUAUUAAAAAAUUUAUUGUUAACUUAUAUAACUAUUAUAGUGCUAACUAUAGUAGACAACAUGGUACCUUUCUAACUAUAGUAGACAAAUUAUUUUUAAAUAAAAUAAUAAAAAAAAAUUAUUGGUUCAAACUUGAAUCGAAAUGGAUCAAACCGAAACCAAUUCUUGCCGAUUCGAUUUUUAUUCCAAAUUUUGAAUUGACAAUUUUUGAAAUGGAUGAUUCUGAAAUGGUGACUAAGUCUUAAAUAUAACUUAUAUUUAAAUCAUCAAAUUUUAUAUUUGCUGGUUUAGUUUGUGAAUUGAAGGACAAUGUAUUUGUAACAGUAGAAAGAGAUUUGAAUGCUUUAAAUUUGACUAUAUAUAUGUUUUCUUACACAGAGCAUAAAGAGUUCGGAUAUUUUAUGGCUAUUGUUAUUAGUGUGAUUGUUUGCACUUAUUGGAUUUAUUGGCAAAUUCUUACUGAUUUAGAUUAUGCCAGUGAAGAUUCUCACUGAUUUAGAUUAUGGCUUUAUUGAGAGAAAGUUCUUUACUACAGCUGAAGCCACUGAAGUCAAUGAGAGCCCGAUGAGUGGGCCGGGCGAGAGAGUUCAACCGGGUGCAGCCCAGGAGCCCGCCUGAUUCAGGUUGUGUCGAACCCCCGAGUCAAAUCAAUUUGAGGCAAUGGUUCGAUUGAACCAGAUGAGAACGGCGUCCUCAAAAUUCGCACCCGUGCCCUAAAUGCAGCGGUGAAACUGUCUCCUUAUUCACAGCCACUGCAACUGCGGCGUGUACCUUGGCGAUAGCCGGCGGCGGCGGCGGCGGCGGCAUCUUCCUCCGUCGAGCUCUUAUCGCUGCGGCGUUUUCCUCGGCGAACGGUGGAUGCUGAGGCUUCCUCUCCGUCAGCGAACGGUACAGCGCCCGGUAUCUCUCUCUUACUCCUCCUCCUCCUCCUUCGCCGUCACACAAUCCCUUCUCCUCCCUCUUCCCCCCUUUCGUCGCAGCUCUCCCGAUUCCCCGACACCAUCCUCCUCCUCCCUUCUCCCCCCUCCUCCCUCUUUCACCCGUUCAUCGCAGCCCCCCGCCCCUCUUCCCCGAUCCCUCCCCCUCCUCCACUUCAUCACAGUCCCCGNNNNNNNNNNNNNNNNNNNNNNNNNNNNNNNNNNNNNNNNNNNNNNNNNNNNNNNNNNNNNNNNNNNNNNNNNNNNNNNNNNNNNNNNNNNNNNNNNNNNNNNNNNNNNNNNNNNNNNNNNNNNNNNNNNNNNNNNNNNNNNNNNNNNNNNNNNNNNNNNNNNNNNNNNNNNNNNNNNNNNNNNNNNNNNNNNNNNNNNNNNNNNNNNNNNNNNNNNNNNNNNNNNNNNNNNNNNNNNNNNNNNNNNNNNNNNNNNNNNNNNNNNNNNNNNNNNNNNNNNNNNNNNNNNNNNNNNNNNNNNNNNNNNNNNNNNNNNNNNNNNNNNNNNNNNNNNNNNNNNNNNNNNNNNNNNNNNNNNNNNNNNNNNNNNNNNNNNNNNNNNNNNNNNNNNNNNNNNNNNNNNNNNNNNNNNNNNNNNNNNNNNNNNNNNNNNNNNNNNNNNNNNNNNNNNNNNNNNNNNNNNNNNNNNNNNNNNNNNNNNNNNNNNNNNNNNNNNNNNNNNNNNNNNNNNNNNNNNNNNNNNNNNNNNNNNNNNNNNNNNNNNNNNNNNNNNNNNNNNNNNNNNNNNNNNNNNNNNNNNNNNNNNNNNNNNNNNNNNNNNNNNNNNNNNNNNNNNNNNNNNNNNNNNNNNNNNNNNNNNNNNNNNNNNNNNNNNNNNNNNNNNNNNNNNNNNNNNNNNNNNNNNNNNNNNNNNNNNNNNNNNNNNNNNNNNNNNNNNNNNNNNNNNNNNNNNNNNNNNNNNNNNNNNNNNNNNNNNNNNNNNNNNNNNNNNNNNNNNNNNNNNNNNNNNNNNNNNNNNNNNNNNNNNNNNNNNNNNNNNNNNNNNNNNNNNNNNNNNNNNNNNNNNNNNNNNNNNNNNNNNNNNNNNNNNNNNNNNNNNNNNNNNNNNNNNNNNNNNNNNNNNNNNNNNNNNNNNNNNNNNNNNNNNNNNNNNNNNNNNNNNNNNNNNNNNNNNNNNNNNNNNNNNNNNNNNNNNNNNNNNNNNNNNNNNNNNNNNNNNNNNNNNNNNNNNNNNNNNNNNNNNNNNNNNNNNNNNNNNNNNNNNNNNNNNNNNNNNNNNNNNNNNNNNNNNNNNNNNNNNNNNNNNNNNNNNNNNNNNNNNNNNNNNNNNNNNNNNNNNNNNNNNNNNNNNNNNNNNNNNNNNNNNNNNNNNNNNNNNNNNNNNNNNNNNNNNNCUCUCUUACUCCUCCUCCUCCUCCUUCGCCGUCACACAAUCCCUUCUCCUCCCUCUUCCCCCUUUCGUCGCAGCUCUCCCGAUUCCCCGACACCAUCCUCCUCCUCCCUUCUCCCCCCUCCUCCCUCUUUCACCCGUUCAUCGCAGCCCCCGCCCCUCUUCCCCGAUCCCUCCCCCUCCUCCACUUCAUCACAGUCCCCGCCCCCCGUUUUCCUACUCCGAUACCAACGGUCCCGUCUCAGUUUUCCUACUCCGGACCCGACAGCCCCCUCUCCAUUAUCUUGCUCCGGACCCGACAGCCCCCGUCUCCCUCCUCUACACCCCUCUUCGCCCUCUCUAUACAUCUUCCCGUCCCCUUUCCUUCUCCCUGAUAGUUACCCGCUACCCUCCCAACAAGUAGUCAGCAGCAUGUCUUGAGCAUUUACUUUAAAGAAAUAGCAAGUCACAGUAUGCAAGUUAAAUACUGUUGUUGAGAUAGAAAGCAGGAGAAGUGCUGCUUUUAUAAAGAGCAAAGGGAAUUGGGGAGUCUUUGAGAAAAAUAAAAAAACACGGAAAAGAUAGAACAAGAGAUAGCAGAGACAAUAAUUGGGUCACUGUCCAAUGAAAAUCAUAAUUAUUUGUCAAUAGAAUCAUGCACAAGUCUGACUAUUCCCCAUGUGAAGCAUUUUAAUUAAAAAUAUACCUAAGAUAAUACUAAUCUGACUAGGUUUCCCAAAAGAAGCUCUCUCAACAGAAACUGCUUAUUUUGAUGAAGCGUUUGGUUCAUCAAACCUCUUAGUUUUCUUAUUAUGUUUACUGCAUUGCAGUUUCCUUUUCAAGCACAUCAGAAAAUUUCCACACAAAACCCCAAAUGAUACAAAGGAAUCGACUCAAUAUAAAGGACAAGUUGAGUCAACAACUAGAAUUUGACUUGAUUUCCAAACCCGAAAAUAGACCCAAAAUCUCAAUGUAUUUGGUUAGGUAUAACCUUACACCUUUACGUCAGCAUAGUGUGUUCUCUGCUGUAGUGCUGAAAGCAACUAUCUUUGCUCCUUGAGGCUAGUUCGUACCUCAAAACACACAGGCCUGCUUAUAUUUGGAUUAUCAAAUCUUGUAUUUGCUGGUUUAGUUGGUGAUUUGAAGGAGAUUUUGCAGGUGACAAUAGCAAGAGAUAUUAAUGCUCAUAAUUUAACUACAGAUAUUUUCUUAUACAGAGUUCAAUGAUGCAAAACAUCCAUAUGGAUGAUCAUGAAUUGUUUGAACAUCAUGGCUUUUGUUAUUAUUUUGGUCGUUUGCACAUGCUGGUUUUAUUGUCUAAUUCUCACUGAUAUAGGCUUUUUUUUUCUUCAUUAAUGAUAUGUAGCUGUGGCAACAUAUAAUUUAUUUUACUGUAGUUGAAGUUAUUUACAUGAUCAGUCUUUCUCAUAAAUUAAGUUCCUUUAUCAGCAAAGAACCAAAUAAACUAGUAGCAUUUCUUGAUUGAGGCAGUUUUCUUAUCUCUUUAUUCAUUUUUCAGAAUAUUUAUUGCCUUUCUCUGGUCUUCCAGAUAUGUUGUUUUUUUUUUGUCAAGUUGCUCAUCAUCAUCAACAAUGCCCUUUUUAGCAUGUUGAACCUUACAAAUUACUGUUGUUAAUUAAUUAAACAGUGUCUUUUCUACUUACGAGUCUUGCUAGACUUUUAACUAGAUCAUCUCUUUACAUUCUUGAUGAAAUGGAUCAAUUACUCUGGAAGUGCUCAUUUGAAAUGUUUCAGAUUUUAGUUGUAGGACAUUAGUGAAUUUGAUGUUAGAGAAAACAUUAUGCAUCUUCCAGUUAUUCUGAAUUCUGUAGUACCAUUUGCAAGUCAUUGAUGUUCAACCUAUAAGUAUAAACAUGAGUAUCGUCUGUAUACGAUCAACAUUGUAAAUGCCUAUGCCACUCUUAUGCAACAUAUUUGAUGAAUUUGAUAUAGUUUUUAAUUUGCUACAGGGAUAUAGGAUGCUUGGUAGUGUCUAAACCCACCAACUACAAUAUAAAAAUAAGUGGAAGAUAGUGUCUGUGCUCUGGUGUUAUAUGAUGCCAGUAUUUCAGUGGUGGAGAAUUGCUCGGAUGUGAGCAUUAGAAUGAGUAACGAAUUAUAGGUACUCGUUAUCAACUCUCAAACACCAUUUAGAGACUUAUCUCUGGAAGAAAUGGCUGAUUGGAGCUGAAUGCAUGUGGAUUAACACGAGUGGUAUAGGAAUGUUGUCUGAGACAGAUGAUUAGUAGAAAGUUUUCAACGUCCUUGAUUUGAGUUAGAAGAGGAAUUUGGACUUGGAGAGGGCAGAAUUAAGACUACUUUUCUUGUAUUUUUCUGCAAACAGUACAUGAUACUGCCUCAAAAGACAAUGUUUUUGGUGCAGAAGAGGCUCUUUUGCCUUCUCUCGUGUAACAAGUCCACCGUCCAUGUUUCCUCCUAUCAACUCUGCAGUCUGUUUAGCUUUACCACUGCCGAAGAGCACAGUUUAAAUCAUGGAUCCAACUUUACGUUGGUCGACCCCCUUGAGUCAUGUGAACUUUCCUCAAAAGAGGCUGCAAAAAGGGCCAAGGAUCGCAUCUGUGACAAAGAACUUUCAAGUUCAAGUCCUUCCAUUGAGUUCUUCAAGCAGAGCGGUUGGAGUGAUCCACUAGUCAUGAAGCUUUUGCAGAGGGAACCCAGGCUUCUACGUGCUAACGUAGAGACUAUCCUGAAGCCCAGGAUGAGAUCUUUGCAGGACAUGGGAUUUUCUGACACCGAAAUAGUUCAGCUGGUUUCAUCAUGUCCGUGUCUGCUCUAUUUACGUGAUAUCCAACCAAGGAUCAACUUCUGGAGGUCACUUCUUGGUUCUAAUGAGAGGUUAAUUAAAGCCAGCAGGGGGAACAUGUUUCUCCUUACUUCUAGCGUGGCUCAAAAGAUUGAGCCCAAUAUAUCUCUCUUGAGGGAACGUGGCAUCAGUGAGCAAUGCAUCACGCAGAUGUUGGUGGCAGUACCGAGUUUUUUUUGUCGAAUGAACAAAUAUAUCGACGAAUCUAUCAAACGUGUUGAAGAGUUGGGAGUGUCACGUGACUCUAAAAUGUUCCCUCAUGCACUUUUAACAGUCAUGACCUUGAGCAGGUCCAGGUUUGAUGCUACCUUUGCAACCUUGAUGAGCUUUGGGUGGUCCCAACCAGACAGCCUUGCUACAUUCAGGAGGUAUCCAUUCAUUUGGAAUUACUCAAAGAAGAACUUAUCUGACAAGAUGACAUUCCUGAUGAAGGAAGCUGGUUGUGAGCUGACAUAUAUCAUUGGCCAUCCCACGCUUCUUACAUUUAGCUUGGAGAAGAGGUUGAGACCUCGAUGUGAAGUUAUGAAUUUUCUUGAUCAUAAUAAAUUGCUGGAUAAAGGACAUGACCUGCUAUCUGUCAUGCUGCUAAGCGAAGAGAAGUUCAGAAACAAAUUCCUUUUCCUGCUACGCAAGGAGAAAUUUAUUGCUCAAUAUGAUUCCUAUGUUGUUGCUGUGCACGGAAAGCAUGACGUUAUUGCCGAAAACUAGGAUUGCAAGUGCUUCCUUAAGACAAAGUGUCGACCUAUUGCAUGCUGACUGCAAAUUAAUCAUUUUACAUUUGUGACAAUUUAAAAUUCUCCUUGAGUUUCUUGGAGUAUAACUUCCCUGUUGAUUUGGUGAUUGUUCUUCUAUUUAUGUUUUCUACAACAAAAGGUACUCAUUCUUUUAUGCUGAUGUCUCAGAAAUUGGUAUGGGGGAAAGUCAAUUACUUAAGAAAGAUAACCAAAAUAUCAAGCUUUUGUGUUCUGUUUCUAUCAUAUUUACCUGAUUCCGCCAGCCAUAUUGAUAACUGUGCUGUCAUUUAGAUGAUUGUGAUCUAAUUUAAUAAGGAUACCUUCCUUUUGAAUGGGGACAUCUCAAAGAAUUAUGUAAGAGCCGCUUGGACAGAAAAUACUUCAAAGGCAACCACAGAUGUGGAUAUGACUAACAUUUUUGUUGUAGUCAUAUACACACUCGCUCAUUAAAUAAUUAAGUCCAGUUUAACCGUUUAAUUGAACGCAUUAAACAAACGAUCUAUAUUAAGUUUGAUACACAUCUGUAUUGUUAUAUAAUUAGAUUAUGUGUUUUACUUUGCUUGUGCGAUCUAAUAGACCCAACAUGGCUCCCGUUUAAUUGUGUGUUUCAUUUUUUUCUUAUAAUGUUGUAUUAUCAUUUUGGUGUCUUCAACAUAAGGAAUAGUAUCAUUAUUUUUUUAGUGAUAUGUUUAGUUACUAAAAUUUUAACUUAAUAAAUAAUUCUAAGAGGAAAGACUUAGAAAAGUGAACAAAAUAUAUUGUUGGAUGGUUGUUGGGGAACUAUUGAUUAUAAAUCAGUAAUGAUGUUAUGAUGUUAAAGAGUGUAAAAUUAUUUUUAAAAAUUCUGAAAAGACAUAAAAGAUAUGUAUUUGUAAGAUUUUGGAUAAUAAAAAAAUACAAAUGGAGUUUACAUUUUUCAGCAAUAGUUUUUGAACCAAACAAGUUUCAAAAAAUUUACUGCUUAUGUCCUCAUUUAUUUUUCAAUAUAUUCCCUAUUAUGCAUUAAUAGACCUAGUUGAAUAGAUGAUAAUGCUAUAAAUCAGAUACUCCUCAUGAUUGAAAAAUUAGAAAAUAUCAAGAUUUUUGUAUUUAAGUUAUUCGGACUCAUUAAAACUCUACGACAACAUGUUUUUUUUAGUUAAUAAUUUAUUGAUAAGUCCCUUCCACAAGUCACUGACAAUCACUUCCUCAUAUGUUUAUUUCAUAAUAUAAUUAUUUAUUUUAAUUUUUUUAAAAAAUAAAUGGCUAACAUAAGAUUUCAUCACGUGAGGAUAUUGAGUUCAUUAAAAAAGGUCUUCUUCUUCGUGGCCCCUUUAGCAAGAAACUUUCAAUUAGGAAGAUCCGUGAAAACAACAAACAAUAACCUUUAGUACUUUGAAUAAGUAUCUUAUUAAAUUAUUUCUCGAGCACUCUACAUUUACAUGUUUGAUCGGACCAAUUAAGUUGCAAUAUUAUCGACUACUUCUGUCUUUUUUUUUUUUCGUUAGGCCUUGAUAAAAAUCAUAUAUAUUUCUGUAAAGUCGAUAAAGUUAUCAUCUAAGUAAGAUACUUGAAACUAGUUAUGACAUACUACUAUUGGGAUGCAUCCGUAAAUUAUAACAGACUUCUCCAAAAUAGACCCAAAAUCUCAAUGUAUUUAGUUAAGUAUAACUAGUCCUAACUAAAUCACAACUGGUUUGUUGUGAUGGGUUUGAAUCACAACUAAAUCAAUGCAUUUAGUUAGGUAUAAAUAUGACUGGUUUGAAUUGAAUCAAACCAGAAUCGAUGGUUCGUUGAUUGCAAAUCAAAUCGUAAUCUACUAGGGGUUGUUUAAUUGAGGUUUCAAGGUUUGAAAAAUUAGAAUCAACGAUACCAUAAUUGAUUAUUCCGCUUCCUAUUUAAACCAUCGAUUUGAUGGUGUUUUAUAUAGAUAAAAACCUUGAUCAAAUAGGUUGUAGAUAGAUAAUUUGGCUUAAACGAUUGGGCCCAAUAGUAUGUGCAUGGACUAUAUUUAGGGGUACUUUAGUUAUUUUAUAAUUAAAAAUAUUAAAAAUUAGAAAACAAAUUAGUCCUUCCAAUAAGCAAAUAAUAGCUAGUUAUGAAGAUAUUUUAAGAAAAAAUUAAAACCCUAUAGAUACCCCAAAAAUCUUUUAUUGUUUCUCGCAUCAUCGAUUAAGUACUUGUUGAAGUUUGAACGCUUUGAUGCUUUUUUCUUAAUCUGAUGGCAAGUGGAAGCUAUCACUUCACCACAGAGGAGGCUUUUGAAAAUCUGAUCUUGAUAAUUCAAGAAAGCCAACAUAUCAAUGUUGAUGUUAAGAUGUUGAUAGAUGACUUUUAAAAAUAUAGAAGAAAGAAGAUAUGAUGACCAAACUCAAGUUAGACAUCUUCAAGUUAUACUUUAAAAACAUCUGAAACACUGAUAGCUCCUUCCAUAUUGUAAUUAUUGAGACUAAAUUUUUAAAUACAAAGAGGGAAGAAGAUAUAGAAUAUUUUGAAAGUAUAUCAAGAAGAAACAUCCAUUACAAGUUGGUACGAUUAUACCAGUGAAGAUUCUCAAUAAAAAGUUAAUUUUUCUUCAUUAAUGAUUGGUUGCAUAAAGUUCUUUACUAUACUAUAGCAGAAGCGAUUGACGACACCGGGCGCCCGAUAAGUGGGCCGGGCGGAUGAGUUCGACCGGGUGCGGCCCAGGCGCCGCAUGAUUUGGCUGUGUCGAGCCUUAGUCAAGUCUAUUUGGAACUAAGGUUCGAUUGAACCAGAUGAGAACGGCAUCCUCAAAGUCGCACCCGUGCCCUAAAUGCCGCGGUGAAACUGUCUCCUCCUCUACAGCGACCACGACUGCGGCGUUUUCCACGGAGAACGGUGCAUGCUGCGGCUUCCUCUCCGUCGGCGAACGGUGACAGCGCCCGGUAUCUCUCUCUUACUCCUCCUCUUCCUCCUUCGCCGUUAGUUAUAUGUGCUUUCCCUGCACAUCAUCAACAGUGGCUUCUUUAGCAUGUUGAACCUCACAAAUUACUGUUGUUAAUUUCUUAAACAGUGUGUUUUCUAAUUACCAGUCUUGUUAGACCUAUAACAAAAUCAUCUCUUUACAUUCUUGUUGAAAAGGAUCAAUUAUUCUGGAAGUGCUCAUUUGAACUGUUACAGGUUUUAGUUGUAGGACAUUAGUGAAUCUGAUGUUAGACAAAACAUUAUGCAUCUUCCACCUAAUCUUAGUGCUGAAGUACCCAUUGCAAGUCAUCGACUGAUGUUCAACCUAUUAGUACAAAGUUGAAAAUCAUCUGUAUACAAUCAACAUAGUAAAUGCCAUUGUCACUCUUAUGCUGCAUAUUUGAUGAAAAUACAUUUGAUAUAAUUUUUCAAUAUCUGCAUGGAUAUAGUGUGCUUCACAGUUUCUAAAGCUACUACCUACAAUAGAUAAAUAGCGGAAGGUAGUGUCAGUGUGCAUGUGUCAUAUCAAGACAUUAUUUCAGUGGUGGUUAAUACCUUGGAUGUGAGCAUGGUAAUAAGUAAAUGAUCAAUGGUACCCGUAAUCAACAUUCAAACACCAUUUAGAGGCUUACAUCUGAAAGAAAUGGUUAAUGGGAACUGAAUGCAGGUGGAUUUACGUGAGUGGUAGGGGAAUGUUAUCCGAUACAGAUGAUUAGUUGGAAGCUUUCAACUUCCUUUUGGUUGGAAGCAGACACAGAAAAUAUAUUUAGUUCAGCAAUAAAACUACUUGUGUUUUUCUGCAAAUAGUGUGUGAUACUGCUUCAAAAUAUAAUGUUUUUGGUGCAAAAGAGGCUCUUUUGCAUUCUCCCAUUUAACAAGUCCACCAUCCAUGUUUCUUCCUAUGAACUCUUCAGUCUGCUUAGCUUUUCCACCGCCAAAGACCAAAUUUCAGAUCAUAAAUCCUACUUUACAGUGGCCAACCCCCUUCAAUCAUGUGAACUUUCCUCGGAAACGGCUGCAAAAACAGCCAAGUUCCUCACCUGUCACACAAAAUCUUCAAGUUCAAGUCUUUCCAUUGAGUUCUUUAAGCAGAGCGGUUGGAGUGAUGCACGAGUCUUGAAGCUUACCCAGAGGGAACCCAGGUUCCUAUGUGCUGACAUAGAGACUGCCAUGAAGCCCAAGUUGAGAUCUUUGUAGGACAUGGGAUUUUCUGACACUGAAAUAGUUCAGCUGGUUUCAUCAUGUCCGACUAUGCUCCUUCUACAUGACAUCAAACAGAGGAUCAACUUCUGGAGGUCACUUCUUGGUUCUAAUGAGAGGUUAAUUAAAGCCAGCCGGAGGAACAUGUUUCUCUUUACUUCUAGCUUGGCUCGAAAGAUUGAGCCCAAUGUAUCUCUCUCGAGGGAAUGUGGCAUCAGUGAGCAACGCAUUGCGCAGAUGGUGGUGAGACUACCAAAUUUUUUAUGUCAAACAGAAAAAAUGUAUCAAGGAAGUUAUCAAAUAUGUUGAGGAGUUGGGUGUGUCACGUGGCUGUAAAAUGUUCCCUCGUGUACUAUUAGCAGUCAUGACCCUGAGCAGGUCCAGGUUUGACGCUACCUUUGCAACCCUGAUUAAUUAUGGGUGGUCCCAACCAGAUUGCGUUGCUGCAUUCAGGAAGUAUCCAUCCAUUUAGUGUUUGCCAAAGAAGACCUUAUGUGACUAGAUGACAUUCCAGAUGAAGGAAGCUGGUUGUGAGUUGACAUAUAUCAUUUGCCGUCCUAUAACGAUUUUAGCUAGAAUUGCCUAAGACAUAAGGUACCUUUGCGUCAAAGACACGAACUUAGCUUGCGUUGUCUAUGUCGCGCUUCGUCCUUACGAUUUACGUUCGCAAAGAUUAGCCCACUUGCAACCUCUCGCAGGUCUCGAAACAUCUGUAAAAGAGAAAGUUGAUUAGUUUAAAGAACGAGCGACGGACAAGUCCCGACGUCUCGCGAAAAAGAGAAGCUUUACAAGUAAUUCAGCGAGCAACUUGUAUGCACAAGAGAAAAGAGGGAGAGGGGGAAAACAAGGAUUUUAGAAGGUUGAACGAACAGUUGUAAGUCCGCAAACAGUUGCUCACCCGACACUAUACCGAGGUCUCAUUCAGCCUUGUGCCACCCAGGUGGUUCUAGGGUGCUGAGAUGGCUAACGUUUCACGUGCAGCAGCGGGCUGCAGAAAUCAGCCUGUGGCAUGGGAAAACAGAGCCUUUUUGGGGUCGUUUUGCUUGGUUCGGCGAGUGGUCACACCGUAGCGUUAUAACUUAUUCGAACUUACAUUUUUACAAACAAAAAGACUUAAAACUAAGCCAAAACAUGUUGCCAAGCAAUUAUACAUGUAGACGAGAACGACGAAUGAUUCGGUGAACGGAGUUGUUCAAGGUGCGCAACGACCAUUCAUAACAUUCUCCCCCACUCAAAUUGUCGAUGCCCUCGUCGACGCUUGUUGAUAGUUGUUGAUGAUUGCUUCUUCAUGUCAUAGGGUGUCUUCAGGCUCCCAACUAGCUUCAGAUCGGGGAAGCUUUCGCCACUUCACCAAGUACACGGUCUGCUCAGCUCUAGUGGGUAGCUUUAUCUUGCGAUCUGCUAGAAUGGUUUCAACUCGCUUUUCGUAGGAGGCUGUGGUGGGGGGUAGCCAAGUUGGAACACUUCGGGAAGCAUCUUGCGGAUCCGAGUGGUAGGCUUUCAAGUUGCUGGCGUGAAGAAUAUUGUGAAUGUUGAACCACGUCGGCAGCUGCAACUUGUAGGAGACAUUAUCCACCCUACUGAUAAUUGGGAAGGGCCCUUCAUACUUGCGCACCAAUCCUUUAUGUAUUUUGUUUCUAAAGAAUUAGAGUGAUGCUGGUUGGAGCUUGACCAACACCAAAUCGUCGAUCUUGAACUCUUACGGUCGCCUACCAAAGUUUGCCCACUUCAUUCUUUUUGCUGUCUUCUCCAAGUAAGUCCACACAAUAUCUACAUUUCGGUGUCACUCCCUUGCAAAGUGGUAGGCUGAUGGAUUACUCCCAGUAUAUCCAAUUACUUUAGUGUGAGGAGUUGACGGUUGUUACCCUGUAAUAAUCUCGAAAGGGCUCUUGUUGGAUGCAGAGCUUCGCUUCAAGUUAUAGGAGAAUUGGGCAAUGUCCAAUAACUUCAUCCAAUCUUGUUGGUUGGCACUCACGUAGUGCCGAAGAAUAUUGCUGUAGGAGAUGAAAGCCACUGUCUCGACAAUCUUAGACUUGUUCUUCGAAUCAAAAUACAAUGCGUUGCCAAUAUUUAGAUGAUCAAAUCUUAUAUUUGCUGGUUUAGUUUGAAGGAGAAUAUAAUACUGGUAACAAUAGAAAGAGAUUUUAAUGCUUUGACUAAAUAUGUUUUCUUACGCAAGCAUAAAUAGUUCGGAUAUUAUGGCUUUUUAUAUUAUUGUUAUUGGUUGCACUUGUUGGAUUUAUUGGCAAAUUCUCACUGAUUUAGAUUAAUAGCUGAAGCAAUUGAAGUCACCGAGCGCCCGAUAAGUGGGCCGGGGGUGCGAGUUCAACCGGGUGCGGCCCAGGCGCCCGUCUGAUUAAGGCUGGGUCUAGCCCAAGUCAAGUCAAUUUGGAUCUCUGGUUCGAUUGAACCAGAUGAGAACGGCAUCCACAAAUUCGCACCCGUGCCCUAAAUGCAGCGGUGAAACUGUCUCCUUCUCCACAGCGACCGCGACUGCGGCGUUUUCCUUGGCGAAAGGCGGCAGCUGCGGUGGCAUCUUCCUACGUCGAGCUCUUAUCGCUGCGGCGUUUUCCUCGGCAAACGGUGGAUGCUGCGGUUUCCUCUCCGUCGGCGAACGGUGAUAGCGCCCGGUAUCUCUCUCUUACACAUCCUCCUCCUCCUCUUCCUCCUUCUCCGUCGCAAAAUCCCUUCCCCUCUCUCUUUCCCCGUUCAUCGCAGCCCACCGCCGCCCCGGCCUCAUCGCUGCCCCCUUUCCCCAAUCCCUCCUUCCUCUUCCCCUUUCGCCACAGCUCUCCCUCUUCCCCGACACCGUCCCACGACUCCAUAUGUAGCUGACGCUACAUAUAAUUUUUUUAGUGUAGUUUAAGUUAUUUACAUGAGGAAUCUUUCUCAUAAAUUAAGUUCCUUUAUCAGCAUAGAACCAAAUAAACUAGUAGCAUUUCUUGAUUGAGGCAGUUUUCUUAUCCCUUUAUUCAUUUUUCAGAAAAUUUAUUGCCUUUCUCUGGCCUUCCAGCUAUGUUGUUUUUUUUUGGUCAAGUUGCUCAUCAUCAUCAACAAUGCCCUUUUUAGCAUGUUGAACCUCACAAAUUACCCUUGUUAAUUAAUUAAACAGUGUCUUUUCUGCUUACCAGUCUUGCUAGACUUUUAACUAGAUCAUCUCUUUACAUUCUUAAUGAAAUGGAUCAAUUACUCCCCAAUGUUUCAGAUUUUAGUUGUAGGACAUUAGUGAAAUCGAUGUUAGAAAAAACAU